CCCUUCUUUUGGAUGCAGCCAUGGCUCCCAGCCCCCGGUUCUUGCUACCUGUCUCUCUGCUGAUCUUAUUUCUGGCUCUAGUGGCUGCAGAAGCAGCAGCUCCGUUGUCAAACAAGCGUACCCUGCAGACUGAGGACGAAAAUGAGGGAAAUGCUUUAGAAUCCGAAUCCCUUGACAGCCCUGAUUCUGACUCA